GGGGGGCUUCCAGCGGCCUUUUCCGCGAGUCCGGCGGGUCCAGGUCUAUGGGAACCCCAGUGUGGGUCCCGUUCUGCUGGAUGGGAGCUGCCGCCAUCAUGUUUGCAGUUCCUGCCGCUGCUACCGGGAGAAGGUUCUCCCUUUUGUUUUGGCUUUUUCUUUUCUUUUUUCUUUUUUUUUUUUUUUUUUUUUGCGUUUGGGGUUUCCUAAGGUUUUUUUUUUUUAAUCGGAUCAAUAUAAAUCUCUUUAGGAAAAAAAGCAAUGUUGCUGGUUUGUUCUCACUGGGGAGGGGGCAGGGCUGAAGAGCACCUGCAGUGCAGUGUCAGAAAGGAGACAGGGGAAUGGAGGGGGUGUGAGAAACGGAGGGUGAAAAAAGAAGAAGAAAGGACACAGGGGGAGAGAGUGGAGAAGGGAGAGGGGCGAGUGAAUGAGCGGGAGGAGGGGACCGGGGAGGACGGGCAGAGGGAGUGGGAAAGCGCGAGGGCUGGCGGGGCGCGGGGAGAAGCCCAGGAGGAGGGGAGAGUGAGGGAAAGAGUGAAUGAGCAGGAGGAGGGGAAGGAGGUGGAUGCCGAGAGAGGAGCGAGCGGCAGAGGAGGGCAGGAGCCGGGAAGGAGCGCGGCGGUCCCCGCGCCGCGCUAGCGUUGCGCUCGCUCCCGCUGCUGGUGCUGCCGCCGCCGCCGCUGCCGGAGCGGUUCUGCCGUUGCCUGGGCUGCUCGGCGCUGCUGCUGCUGCCGCCCGAUAGUCAAAACUUUUGAUUCUACUUGCUGCUUCCUGGAACUCAGCCUGCAUGCUGUGAGAAGCCCAAGGCAGACCGAGGAAUCACAAAGAUGAGAACAGAGGCAUUCUAGUUCUGAAAUAACCCAUCUUGAAGACAUAAACAAUGUGCAUUGAUGGCUAGCCAGACUCUGUCCUGCCACGGUUCUCCUCCUACUCUUCAUUUCUUACCCCAAGGAGUAGUAAACAUGAAUCCUGACCCACCAAUGCAGUCCCAGAACUGAGAAAAGAUUCACUGCAGCUAAACACAUUGGAAAUGGAUGGGGAGAAGGCCUGAUGAAAAUUACUGAGGAAGCCUCUUAGCCUAUGUGCUCUGAGAGUAGUGACACCCAGUAGUCCUUAAGACCGCUUAAAUUAUCCUAAGACAAUGGAUGUGAACAGGCACUUUUCAAAAGAAGACAUACAUGCAGCCAACAAUCAAAUGAAAAAAGCUCUACAUUACCGAUCAUUAGAGAAAUGCAAAUCAAAAC
rnacentral:lncRNA from 1 species